AUGAACGCUGGCGGCGUGCCUAAUCCCUGCAAGUCGAGCGAACGGACGAGAAGCUUGCUUCUCUGAUGUUAGCGGCGGACGGGUGAGUAACACGUGGAUAACCUACCUAUAAGACUGGGAUAACUUCGGGAAACCGGAGCUAAUACCGGAUGAUAUUUUGAACCGCAUGGUUCAAAAGUGAAAGACGGUCUUGCUGUCACUUAUAGAUGGAUCCGCGCUGCAUUAGCUAGUUGGUAAGGUAACGGCUUACCAAGGCAACGAUGCAUAGCCGACCUGAGAGGGUGAUCGGCCACACUGGAACUGAGACACGGUCCAGACUCCUACGGGAGGCAGCAGUAGGGAAUCUUCCGCAAUGGGCGAAAGCCUGACGGAGCAACGCCGCGUGAGUGAUGAAGGUCUUCGGGUCGUAAAACUCUGUUAUUAGGGAAGAACAUAUGUGUAAGUAACUGUGCACAUCUUGACGGUACCUAAUCAGAAAGCCACGGCUAACUACGUG
rnacentral:rRNA from 1 species